GUAUAAAGUUUAAAGGGCCAGUUAAGUCCCAGUAAAAGACAUUCUAAAACAUACUAAGAGUUUGUAAGACAUAGAAGCCUCUCUGCGAAGAGUCAACUGCAGACAAGUCUGCAACCAAAACCUCACAAAAAGAACUUCUACAAAAAGUGCACAGGUGGAUGAAUAGAUUCAGAGAAGACGUGCACAUGCCAAAAGGCCAGCAACAGACUUCUCCAAAGCGUUUUCAAUAAUGAUCCUUCCGCAGGUUCACCUACGGAAA
rnacentral:misc_RNA from 1 species